rnacentral:rRNA from 1 species
GUGUCAGCCGCCGCGGUAAUACGUAGGGGGCAAGCGUUGUCCGGAUUUAUUGGGCGUAAAACGCUCGUAGGUGGCUACGUCAAGUCGGACGUGAAAUCUCCCGGCUUAACUGGGAGAGGUCGCUCGAUACUGGCGAGCUCGAGGCAGGUAGGGGGAAGCGGAAUUCCCGGUGUAGUGGUGGAAUGCGUAGAUAUCGGGAGGAACACCAGUGGCGAAGGCGGCUUCCUGGACCUGAUCUGACACUGAGGAGCGAAAGCGUGGGGAGCGAUCCGGAUUAGAAACCCUGGUAGUCC